GGGUGCAUGGUCUAGAGGCAUGAUUCCUGCUUUGGGUGUGGUAGUUUCAAGAACCUUUGCAGGAGGUCCCCGGUUCGAUCCCGGGUGCGCCCC